rnacentral:rRNA from 1 species
GAUGAACGCUGGCGGCGUGCUUAACACAUGCAAGUCGAACGAAGCACCUUAUUCUGAUUUCUUCGGAAUGAAAAAUUUGGUGACUGAGUGGCGGACGGGUGAGUAACGCGUGGGUAACCUGCCUCAUACAGGGGGAUAACAGUUAGAAAUGACUGCUAAUACCGCAUAAGACCACAGCACCGCAUGGUGCAGGGGUAAAAACUCCGGUGGUAUGAGAUGGACCCGCGUCUGAUUAGGUAGUUGGUGGGGUAACGGCCUACCAAGCCGACGAUCAGUAGCCGACCUGAGAGGGUGACCGGCCACAUUGGGACUGAGACACGGCCCAAACUCCUACGGGAGGCAGCAGUGGGGAAUAUUGCACAAUGGGGGAAACCCUGAUGCAGCGACGCCGCGUGAGCGAUGAAGUAUUUCGGUAUGUAAAGCUCUAUCAGCAGGGAAGAAAAUGACGGUACCUGACUAAGAAGCACCGGCUAAAUACGUGCCAGCAGCCGCGGUAAUACGUAUGGUGCAAGCGUUAUCCGGAUUUACUGGGUGUAAAGGGAGCGUAGACGGAGUGGCAAGUCUGAUGUGAAAACCCGGGGCUCAACCCCGGGACUGCAUUGGAAACUGUCAAUCUAGAGUACCGGAGAGGUAAGCGGAAUUCCUAGUGUAGCGGUGAAAUGCGUAGAUAUUAGGAGGAACACCAGUGGCGAAGGCGGCUUACUGGACGGUAACUGACGUUGAGGCUCGAAAGCGUGGGGAGCAAACAGG